rnacentral:rRNA from 1 species
GAUGAACGCUGGCGGCGCGCCUAACACAUGCAAGUCGAACGGCACCCCUCCUCGGAGGGAAGCGAGUGGCGAACGGCUGAGUAACACGUGGAGAACCUGCCCCCUCCCCCGGGAUAGCCGCCCGAAAGGACGGGUAAUACCGGAUACCCCGGGGUGCCGCAUGGCACCCCGGCUAAAGCCCCGACGGGAGGGGAUGGCUCCGCGGCCCAUCAGGUAGACGGCGGGGUGACGGCCCACCGUGCCGACAACGGGUAGCCGGGUUGAGAGACCGACCGGCCAGCUUGGGACUGAGACACGGCCCAGACUCCUACGGGAGGCAGCAGUGGGGAAUCUUGCGCAAUGGGGGGAACCCUGACGCAGCGACGCCGCGUGCGGGACGGAGGCCUUCGGGUCGUAAACCGCUUUCAGCAGGGAAGAGUCAAGACUGUACCUGCAGAAGAAGCCCCGGCUAACUACGUG